AGAGUUUGAUCCUGGCUCAGGAUGAACGCUGGCGGCGUGCCUCAUGCAUGCAAGUCGAACGGGAACACUUUUAGUAGCAAUACUGAGGGUGUUCUAGUGGCGAUCGGGUGAGUAACACGUAGGUGACCUGCCCCGAAGAGGGGGAUAACGGUCCGAAAGGACUGCUAAUACCCCAUGUGGUUGAUGAUUCAUUUCGUCAAUUAAAGUUUCCGCAAGGAGUAUGCUUCGGGAGGGGCCUGCGGCGGAUUAGAUAGUUGGUGGGGUAAUGGCCUACCAAGUCGAUGAUCCGUAGCUAGUCUGAGAGGACGAUUAGCCACACUGGCACUGACACACGGGCCAGACUCCUACGGGAGGCAGCAGCAGGGAAUAUUGCACAAUGGGCGAAAGCCUGAUGCAGCAACGCCGCGUGAGGGAUGAAGGUCUUCGGAUUGUAAACCUCUUUUACAGGGGACGAGUAAGGACGGUACCCUGUGAAUAAGCAACGGCUAACUACGUGCCAGCCGCCGCGGUAAUAC
rnacentral:rRNA from 1 species